AGUGGCGGACGGGUGAGUAACGCGUAAGAAUUUGCCUUUAGGAGGGGGACAACAACUGGAAACGGUUGCUAAUACCCCAUAUGCUUUCGAGUGAAAUGGAUUUCCGCCUAAAGAGAAGCUUGCGGCUGAUUAGCUUGUUGGUGAGGUAAUGGCUCACCAAGGCGACGAUCAGUAUCUGGUUUGAGAGGACGAUCAGACACACUGGAACUGAGACACGGUCCAGACUCCUACGGGAGGCAGCAGUGGGGAAUUUUCCGCAAUGGGCGAAAGCCUGACGGAGCAAUACCGCGUGAGGGAUGAAGGCCUAUGGGUUGUAAACCUCCUUUUUCAGGGAGGAAUAAAUGACGUGUACCUGAAGAAUAAGCAUCGGCUAACUCCGUGCCAGCAGCCGCGGUAAGACGGGGGAUGCAAGUGUUAUCCGGAAUCACUGGGCGUAAAGCGUCUGUAGGUGGUUAAAUAAGUCAACUGUUAAAUCUUGAGGCUCAACCUCAAAAUCGCAGUCGAAACUGUUUGACUAGAGUAUAGUAGGGGUAAAGGGAAUUUCCAGUGGAGCGGUGAAAUGCGUAGAUAUUGGAAAGAACACCGAUGGCGAAGGCACUUUACUGGGCUAUUACUAACACUGAGAGACGAAAGCUAGGGUAGCAAAUGGGAUUAGAUACCCCAGUAGUCCUAGCUGUAAACAAUGGAUACUAGAUGUUGA
rnacentral:rRNA from 1 species